GGGUAGAUGUCCGAGUGGUUUAAGGAGCACGCCUGGAACGCGUGUGUGGGGCAACUCACCGAGAGUUCGAAUCUCUCUCUAUCCGCCA
rnacentral:tRNA from 2 species